AUUGCUUCUCGGUCUUUUGGCUAAGAUCAAGUGUAGUACCUGCUCUUAUCAGUUUAAUAUCUGAUUGUCCUCUAUCCAAGGACAAUAUAUUAAGUGGAUUUUUGGAAGUAGCAGUUGGAAUAGGAGCUUGCCCCGUCCACUCCACACAUCGACCUAGUAUUGCAGUACUUCCGGGAACAGUGCACCCCUC